AACGAACGCUGGCGGCGCGCUUAACACAUGCAAGUCGAACGAGAAGGCGUAGCAAUACGCUUGUAAAGUGGCGAACGGGUGAGGAAUACAUGGGUAACCUACCCUCGAGUGGGGGAUAACCCGCCGAAAGGCGGGCUAAUACCGCGUACGCUUCCGAUCUUGCGGGAUCGGAAGGAAAGCUGUCCCUUGGGGAUGGCGCUCAAGGAUGGGCUCAUGUCCUAUCAGCUUGUUGGUAGGGUAACGGCCUACCAAGGCAUCGACGGGUAGCUGGUCUGAGAGGACGAUCAGCCACACUGGCACUGCGACACGGGCCAGACUCCUACGGGAGGCAGCAGUGAGGAAUAUUGCGCAAUGGGCGAAAGCCUGACGCAGCGACGCCGCGGUGGGGGA
rnacentral:rRNA from 1 species